rnacentral:rRNA from 1 species
GGGGAAUAUUGCACAAUGGGGGAAACCCUGAUGCAGCGACGCCGCGUGGAGGAAGAAGGUCUUCGGAUUGUAAACUCCUGUUGUUGGGGAAGAUAAUGACGGUACCCAACAAGGAAGUGACGGCUAACUACGUGCCAGCAGCCGCGGUAAAACGUAGGUCACAAGCGUUGUCCGGAAUUACUGGGUGUAAAGGGAGCGCAGGCGGGAGAACAAGUUGGAAGUGAAAUCCAUGGGCUCAACCCAUGAACUGCUUUCAAAACUGUUUUUCUUGAGUAGUGCAGAGGUAGGCGGAAUUCCCGGUGUAGCGGUGGAAUGCGUAGAUAUCGGGAGGAACACCAGUGGCGAAGGCGGCCUACUGGGCACCAACUGACGCUGAGGCUCGAAAGUGUGGGUAGCAAACAGGAUUAGAUACCCUGGUAGUCCACACCGUAAACGAUGAUUACUAGGUGUUGGAGGAUUGACCCCUUCAGUGCCGCAGUUAACACAAUAAGUAAUCCACCUGGGGAGUACGACCGCAAGGUUGAAACUCAAAGGAAUUGACGGGGGCCCGCACAAGCAGUGGAGUAUGUGGUUUAAUUCGACGCAACGCGAAGAACCUUACCAAGUCUUGACAUCCCUUGACGAUGCUGGAAACAGUAUUUCUCUUCGGAGCAAGGAGACAGGUGGUGCAUGGUUGUCGUCAGCUCGUGUCGUGAGAUGUUGGGUUAAGUCCCGCAACGAGCGCAACCCUUAUGGUCAGUUACUACGCAAGAGGACUCUGGCCAGACUGCCGUUGACAAAACGGAGGAAGGUGGGGAUGACGUCAAAUCAUCAUGCCCCUUAUGACUUGGGCUACACACGUACUACAAUGGCGUUAAACAAAGAGAAGCAAGACCGCGAGGUGGAGCAAAACUCAGAAACAACGUCCCAGUUCGGACUGCAGGCUGCAACUCGCCUGCACGAAGUCGGAAUUGCUAGUAAUCGUGGAUCAGCAUGCCACGGUGAAUACGUUCCCG